rnacentral:rRNA from 1 species
AACGAACGCUGGCGGCAUGCCUAACACAUGCAAGUCGAACGAGACCUUCGGGUCUAGUGGCGCACGGGUGCGUAACGCGUGGGAACCUGCCCUUAGGUUCGGAAUAACUCCCCGAAAGGGGUGCUAAUACCGGAUAAUGUCUUCGGACCAAAGAUUUAUCGCCUUUGGAUGGGCCCGCGUUGGAUUAGCUAGUUGUUAGGGUAAAAGCCUACCAAGGCGACGAUCCAUAGCUGGUCUGAGAGGAUGAUCAGCCACACUGGGACUGAGACACGGCCCCGACUCCUACGGGAGGCAGCAGUGGGGAAUAUUGGACAAUAGGCGAAAGCCUGAUCCAGCAAUGCCGCGUGAGUGAUGAAGGCCUUAGGGUUGUAAAGCUCUUUUACCCGGGAUGAUAAUGACAGUACCGGGAGAAUAAGCUCCGGCUAACUCCGUG